AUUGAACGCUGGCGGCAGGCCUAACACAUGCAAGUCGAGCGAGCGGCGGACGGGUGAGUAAUGUAUGGGGACUGCCCGAUAGCGGGGGAUACCUACUGGAAACGGUAGCUCAUACCGCAUACUAUCGGCUUCCCCAUAUGGGAUUAGCUAGUAGGUGAGGUAAUGGCUCACCUAUCCGACGCUCCCUAGCUGGUCUGAGAGGAUGAUCAGCCACACUGGGACUGAUACACGGCCCAGACGCCUACGGAGGCAGCAGUGGGGAAUAGUGCACAAUGGGCGCAAGCCGGAUGCAGACAUGCCGCGUGUAUGAAGAAGGCCCUAGGGUUGUAAAGGACUUUCAGUCGGGAGGCGUUACCGACAGAAGAAGCACCGGCUAACUCCGUGCCAGCAGCCGCGGUAAUUC
rnacentral:rRNA from 1 species